rnacentral:sRNA from 1 species
CUGCACCUGUCGGGGACACAGCAUCUGCCUUAUUAUGACUUUACAGGUGGUCGGCUGAUGUAGGGUCCUGUAGCCAUACAAUUGGCUGUCAAAGCUUAUUU